rnacentral:misc_RNA from 1 species
GAUGAAGAACGUAGUGAAAUGCGAUAAGUAGUGUGAAUUGCAGAAUUCAGUGAAUCAUCGAAUCUUUGAACGCACAUUGCGCCUUCUAGUAUUCUGGGAGGCAUGCCUGUUUGAGCGUCAUUAAACCUCUCUCAAGUAUGAUUACUUGGAUGUGAAGGAAGAGUACCUUAAACUUAAGGAGUGUUCUCCUUUGAAAUUGAUUAGCAGAUGGUAAUGUUAUUAAAUCCCUGAUGUUGUAAGAAAUAACAGUGGUUUUGUAGACUAUUAUCUAGCUUUAAAUUAUAAUUUUUAUUAUGGUUGACCUCAAAUCAGGUAAGGAUACCCGCUGAACUUAAGCAUAUCAAUAAGCGGAGGA